rnacentral:rRNA from 1 species
CCUACGGGCGGCUGCAGUGGGGAAUAUUGGACAAUGGGGGCAACCCUGAUCCAGCCAUGCCGCGUGUGUGAAGAAGGCCCUCGGGUUGUAAAGCACUUUCAGUGAGGAAGAACGCCUGGUGGUUAAUACCCAUCAGGAAAGACAUCACUUACAGAAGAAGCACCGGCUAACUCCGUGCCAGCAGCCGCGGUAAUACGGAGGGUGCGAGCGUUAAUCGGAAUUACUGGGCGUAAAGCGCGCGUAGGUGGCUUGAUAAGCCGGUUGUGAAAGCCCCGGGCUCAACCUGGGAACGGCAUCCGGAACUGUCAAGCUAGAGUGCAGGAGAGGAAGGUAGAAUUCCCGGUGUAGCGGUGAAAUGCGUAGAGAUCGGGAGGAAUACCAGUGGCGAAGGCGGCCUUCUGGACUGACACUGACACUGAGGUGCGAAAGCGUGGGUAGCAAACAGGAUUAGAUACCCCAGUAGUC